rnacentral:rRNA from 1 species
UACGUAGGGCGCAAGCGUUGUCCGGAAUUAUUGGGCGUAAAGAGCUCGUAGGUGGCUUGUUGCGUCUGCCGUGAAAGCCCGUGGCUUAACUACGGGUCUGCGGUGGAUACGGGCAGGCUAGAGGCUGGUAGGGGCAAGCGGAAUUCCUGGUGUAGCGGUGAAAUGCGCAGAGAUCAGGAGGAACACCGGUGGCGAAGGCGGCUUGCUGGGCCAGUUCUGACGCUGAGGAGCGAAAGCGUGGGGAGCGAACAGG